rnacentral:rRNA from 1 species
GUAUAGGCAAUAGAAAUUUUAUCCUGGCGCUAUAGACACAGUACCGUAAGGGAAAGAUGAAAAAGAUUAACCAAGCACAAAAUAGCAAGCACUCACGCCUAUACCUUCUGCAUAAUGAAACAGUUUCGCAAAGAGAACUAAAGCCAAAUUCCCCGAAGCCAGACGAAAACUAAAACCAAAUUCCCCAAAAACAGCUAAAAGAGCACACCCGUCUAUGUAGCAAAAUAGUGGGAAGAUUUAUGGGUAGAGGUGACAAGCCUACCAAGCCUGGUGAUAGCUGGUUAUCCAAGAUAGAAUCUUAGUUCAACCUUAAGUUUACCUACAGAAUCACUUAAUUCCCCCAUAAGCUUAAUUGUUAGUCUAAAGAGGGACAGCUCUUUAGACACUAGAAAAAAACCUUAUAUAGAGAGUAAAAAAACCCAGUUCCCAUAGUUGGCCCAAAAGCAGCCAUCAAUUAAGAAAGUGUUCAAGCUCAACAUAAUUAUCUUAAAAAAAUCUCAAACAUUCUACUGAACUCCUCACAUCACAUUGGAUUAAUCUAUUAUUUCAUAGAAGUGAUAAUGCUAAUAUAAGUAACAUGAAUAUUUUCUCCACUGCAUAAGCCUACAUCCGACUGAAAAACUUCACUGAUACUUAACAGCCUAAUAUCAAUAAAUACAAACAAAGUCAAUAUUAUUCAUACUGUUAACCCAACACAGGCAUGCUUUUAAGGAAAGGUUAAAAAAAGUAAAAGGAACUCGGCAAACUUAACCCCGCCUAUUUACCAAAAACAUCACCUCUAGCAUUACCAGUAUUAGAGGCACCGCCUGCCCAGUGACACAUGUUUAACGGCCGCGGUACCCUGACUGUGCAAAGGGAGCAUAAUCACUUGUUCCUUAAAUAGGGACUCGCAUGAAUGGCACCACGAGGGUUCAACUGUCUCUUACUUUCAACCAGUGAAAUUGACCUGCCCGUGAAGAGGCGAGCAUAAAAUAGUAAGACGAGAAGACCCUAUGGAGCUUUAAUUUACUAACGCAAUCAAAAUCAUAUAAAUCUGCAGACUUUAAACUACUACACCUGCAUUAAAAAUUUUGGUCGGGGUGACCUCGGAGCAUAACUAAACCUCCGAACAACGUAUGCUAAGGCUACACAAGCCAAAGCGAGUCAACAUCCAUAAUUGAUCCAAUAACUUGACCAACGGAACAAGUUACCCUAGGGAUAACAGCGCAAUCCUAUUCUAGAGUCCAUAUCAACAAUAGGGUUUACAACCUCGAUGUUGGAUCAGGACAUCCUAAUGGUGCAGCAGCUAUCAAGGGUUCUUUUGUUCAACAAUUAAAGUCCUACGUGAUCUGAGUUCAGACCAGAGCAAUCCAGGUUGGUUUCUAAUGUGGGUGGGCCUCAUCCAGUAAGUUGAAGGCCUGAAUCG